GGCAGUUUCCUGUGAAUGUUUGGGAAAAUAGAAUCAAAAUUGUCGAAAAUAUUCAAACAAGAUGUACCUAUUUGAUUUGCAUCAAAAACAUCAAAUAUGCCGGGGGAAAACAAAGGAAAUCAUGGUGGAAAACCCCUAAAAUGAACGUUGUCACCCCCCUGAAAGGCCACGUCUCCAUGGCAACGGAUGCACAAAGCUCAACUUUGUUUUUCAACCUUUUGUGAAGUCUUUCUAGUCUCAAAUCAUGCAUCAAUGAACAAUUUGUAACCUUUAAAUACAGUCUGACGAGUACUUAUUGAUUCUUUUGAUUAAAUUAAUUUUUUUCAUACCCAUGGGUUUACCCCCCUGUUCCGAGUGAAUGCCACCUCCCCAGACUGAAAACCAUCACAAUUCUUACACUAUAGGCAUUGGUCUUUCAGAAAAUCACAAUAAGAAUUUCUGCCUAAAAAGUUCCAAAAAUGUCAAAAUUUGCCUGUACUA